rnacentral:rRNA from 1 species
GACAGAGGGCGCAAACGUUGUUCGGAAUUACUGGGCGUAAAGCGCGUGUAGGCGGCUAAGUAAGUCGGGCGUGAAAUCCCACGGCUCAACCGUGGAAGUGCACUCGAAACUGCAUAGCUAGAGUCCUGGAGAGGAAGGUGGAAUGCUUGGUGUAGAGGUGAAAUUCGUAGAUAUCAAGCGGAACACCGGUGGCGAAGGCGGCCUUCUGGACAGUGACGUGACGCUGAGACGCGAAAGCGUGGGGAGCAAACAGGG